UUUUUUUUUUUUUGGGAUCUCUUUUUAUGUGUAUGUGUGCUCUUUCCGUACACAUGAAAAGAAGCAUCCUUAGAAUUUAUGUUGGUAUGAUUCAGUUUCAUAUUUAUUUAUUUGAUUCUGGAUUAUGUCCUUUUGCAGCCGAAAGAAAUGGUCGGUUUCCUCUUACUGCUUAAUCAACUUAUAUGCAAAUUCAGCACCUUGGUCCGUGACAUAUUGGAAGAAGUGUUUCCUACUAUUGCUGGUAGGGUAUUUAGUGCCAUCCAAAGGGUUGUUGAUUCUUCAGUUACGGAAACCAAUACGGAGGUAGUAACCAUUAGCUCAAGUCUGAAAUUAAACAUAUUCUUGCCUAGUGGUUUAUCUCUAUCAUCAUCUGCUGCAUUCAUUGUAUUGCUUUAUGAUUUGAUUUAAACUUAUUUUCAUCUUAUGCAAUUAGUAUUUCCUCUUUUAACCUCCAGUUCAACUGUGAAACACUGCAACAGCAUCUCUAAUGGGUUAUCACAAGCAUAUGCUCCAUGUGCAAUGCCUUUUCUGUGUUCACUGAACCUUCUUUUUUUUCUUUAUCAGGAAAUUCGUGAAUUGCAGGAACUUCAAAAGACGCUAUAUACUUUUCUUCAUGUGAUAGCCACACAUGAUCUCUCUUCCGUUUUCCUUUCCCCCAGAAGCCGGGACUACUUGACUUCAAUCAUGCAGUUGCUGUUACAUACAUCUUGCCACCAUAAGGAUAUUGUUACAAGAAAGGUGAGCUAAUAGCCUUUUUAUUUCAUUCAUUACUUUAAGUAUUGGACAUUUUAAAGUUGUACUAUAAUCAGGAACUGAACCUAACUUUCGGUUAUUGCCAUCUGUGAGAUAGGCUUGUGUACAGAUAUUUAUCAAAUUAAUUAAAGACUGGUGUGCCAAGUCAUCUGGUGAAGAAAAGGUUUGUUUCCCUUGUAAAUUUCAUUCCUAGCUUUGUUGUGUGGAUGAUAUGAUGCUUAUGUCUGUAAGUGAUUAAAUAUUUUGUAGGUACCUGGUUUCAAAAGUUUUAUCAUAGAGACCUUUGCCACAAACUGUUGUUUGUACAGUGUGCUUGACAAAUCCUUCGAGUUCGGUGACGCAAAUACUGUAAGAAUAACCUAUUUUUUAUUCAUUUAUCUUAUCUGUGUUCUGCAUUACUCGGUGUCAUGCAAGAUAUCAUUGUUACAUACAUACGGGAAUAACUUCUUAUUAAAUUUAACAUGGUUUGAGGGUUUUUAUUUAUUACAGAAAAAAAAAAAACCUUCUUAUGCUUGGCCAUUACGUCUUUGCAUCCAUCUGCUUUCUCGGAUAGUUAGGGACAUACCCUUGAUUAAAUGUUUUAAGGUGCAUGGUGACUUGGAACAGUGAAAAGGCUGCAUUAGAAUUUGCUGUGCAGUGAAGUAACAAUGGAGAAACAUUUGUUGCCUGUUCCGAAAACCGAAAAUUGUUUACCUUCUUUCUACAUUGCCUGCAAAGAGCAUUAUUUGCUUUGCUUGGUGAAUAGACAAUGUUGCAAAUAUAUACAGUUAAACUGAUGGUUUAUGCCCAUUUCUUCAUGCUUACUCAUUAUUUCUAUUAUUUUUUCAGCUUGUUUUAUUUGGAGAAAUUGUGCUGGCUCAGAAAGUGAUGUACGAGAAGUUUGGGGAUGAUUUUCUUGUUCAUUUUGUAUCAAAAGGAUUUCCAUCCCCGCAAAAUCUGGCAGAGCAGUAUUGCCAAAAGUUGAAGGUACUAUUCUUUAUAAUCCAUCUAUAUUUGAUUUUUCAUGCAUAAUUAUUUCUGUGAUCCAUCUGGUUUUAUUCAAUUCAUCAUUGGAUUUUAGAAUGAAACUGACGGUGACAACGGGUUUUCAUCCUACCCUAGAACCAUCCUGAAACUGUGACUUAAACCUGGUUCCUGAUACCCUUUCCAUUUAUUAAAUUACUUAAUUCUUAACCGUCUGCACUACCAACUGGGUUUGGACCUUAGACACAAGUUUCCUAUGAAACUAUAAUUGUAAAUAUAGAAUGUUAAACUCUAAUCCAAGAUCUCAUGGAAAAAGAAAAACUUGCCACUUAGUGCAUCAAUGGCCAAGCCACACUUAUUGUACUAAUUAAAAUCUAAUCUUGAAUUCAUGACUUGGUCGAUUUUCUGCAUUGGGACCCUUAAUAAAACUUGGGUUUAUGGGCUUAAAUGGAAUAAGUACUUCACCGUAGCUGCUGAUAGUUUGUAUUUGCAGGGUAAUGAUAUCAAGGCAUUGAGAUCGUAUUAUCAGUCACUUAUUGAACAUUUACGAGUCCAGCAGAAUGGAAGCCUUGUUUUCAGAUAGCAGUGGCCAUAUGAUUAUAUUUUCUAACUGAGGGCUCCACAUAUAUACUUUGCCAGCAAAGGUUCCCACCAUCUUGCAAUUAGUGUUGUUCCAUUUUCCUCAUUCAAGUCUCUUAUGAUUUGAAGUUAACAUUGCAGGUUUCUUUAUGUAAAUAUCAAAUGUGUUAUGUUGCUUGUUUCCAUGGACAAAGAGGUAUUUUUUAAGUUGCUCAAAUAUCCUUCAGUUUCAUUCAGCUGAAUUAGGGUGAGAGUUUUUGUGAGAGCUUUUCAUAGUUUUCCCUUUCAUUUUUUGGAAUCAUUUUUUUUAAUCUUCAAUUAAGUGUACGUGUGACUUAGAUUAUUACCCCCCUCCCCCUCAAAAAAAAAAAAAAAAAAAAAGGGAAAAAAGGCCAUUAGCCAUUUCUUUUAUUCAUUGUUUUGAUACAAUUAUUUUGGGGCCAAAGUUUAUAAUUAUAAAUUCAAUUCAAAUUAGCAUAUAUUAUUCAGUGAUGAGGCUGUAUCUGAGAUGCUGAUAUGAUUAGUAGUAUGAUUUAGAUAGAUUUUAAUCUUAAUUACCCUGUUUUAAAUUUUAUUCUGGGAAGUGCAUUUAAUCCUUGCUUUCUUAAUUAGUAAGAAAAAACAAAAGGAGUGUUUUAAUUUGUUUACUAGGCUAAAAUUACAUGGUUAAGUUACUACAAAUUUCUUAACUUGUUCCCUUAUUUCAUGCUUUAAAAGGCAUUAAAAUAAAAUACAGUAAAGAAAUUCAGAAAAAGAAAGCAAGACAGUAAUUAAGGGAGAGAAAUGAGAUGGGGACAAGCAAUAAAAGAGCAAGUUUAUAUUGCAGAAUGUAAUUAGGGUAAUCUUUUUUUAAAUUAAGCAUUCAAUUAUUAUAAGAAAUCGAAAAUCGAAGGAAUUAUGCAAUGUAGUUGGUGAUGAUGAUUUUCAGGGUUUUUUAAAGAUGUAAUUAGUUAAAUACGUUUAAAAAAUUAAAAUUUUUGGUAAUUAUAAGAAUGUAUAAUUGUUACCUUAAUAAUUACUUUAUUUUACAAUUAUUAUUCUGUAAGUAUAAACACACCUUUAAUAUUUGUCCCUAUUGAAUUUUGAUCAACAUUAUUAUAAAUACUUAUAGUAAGCAUUUGAGACAAGUUUAAAAACAAUACUAUUUGAAUAAAAAAAUAUUUAAUUUCUUUCGUAUAUCAAAAGAGACCUACACAAAUUGAGAAGGUAAUUCUCUAUUUUAAUUUAUCAAAAUUUGAUUUUAUAUUUUACGUAAAUUCAAUUGGACUAACUUAUAUAUAUUUACAAAAUAUAACAAAUUAAAUUAGAGGAAACUCCUCAACUAAUUCAUAACUAAACCUAAUAAAUAUAUCCUUUAAAAUUGAAGAAAUUGUUUUCAUGGGAAACAAACAAGGAAGAUCUUCGUGCAUCAAUUUUUUCCUCAUUCGUAAUAAUGUUUUUAUUUUAUUUUAUUUACAUGUAAAUUAAAUUGUCAAAUUUCAAUCAUGAAAAUGAUUUCUUCAAAGGUUUUUCUCAAAUACAUUGAAAAUUUAAAAGCUUUACUUUUGUUAUUAAAUGUGGAUGCCGGAGGAUCAAAUUGAUUACAUUCACUCAUUUCAAGUUCACAUUUUUGAACGCACUGAGGCAUAUGAUUUGACCCUUUAAAAUCAUGUUAUUAUCAUUUGUCUAUAAUGGACCAACUUUCUUUUUAGUUUUCUCAUCACAAAAACAUAUGAAUAGAGAUGUGAUUCUUGUUUUUUUUUUCCUUUUCUCUCUAAUUUUAGAAUUUUUUAUCUGUAUAAUGUAAAUAAAAAAUUAAAUACUGAAAUGGUAUGUCAAUACAAUUAUUUAUCAAAAUAGUAUGUUUGAAAUAGUAAUAAGGGGUGGAAGGAGAGAGAUGGGCGGCACCCAUGAUUACAAAAAUGACGUGUAUUUAAAAAAAUUACUUUUUUAAGGGUGGAGGGGAAGAGAUGGGCGGCACCAGUAUUUUCUGGUGUAAAAAUAUGAUCUGACUAGUGGGCGAUGAGAGAGAGAUAGUACUGGAUUAAAAUGUGAUAGCCUAAAAUAUUUAGGACCUAAUAUGAAAAUUAACCAUUUUAAUUGAUUGCUAAAAAGAAGCUUUUACAGUGCCGCCAAAGUUUAAAAAGGUUAAAUUCCUUCAUAAGUCCUUCUUAUUUACUAUUUUCUUUUAUUCUCUUUCAACACAAAAAAUAGAGAGUGUUAUUACCAAUUAGCUCAAAAAGUUUUUUCUAACAAAAAGCAUUUUUGUAAAAAAUCCUAUUCCAACUAGAAAUAGAAUAUAAUUAUUACAACUUUCUUUUUUUCUUUUUACUUCUAUUGAAAAUUUAAAGCAUUUACAAUCAAUUGAAGCAUCAAACAUAGGUGCAAGUUAGGUACCACUUGGAUUAAUUACCUUAAAUAGUGGUAUUUUUUUGCCCGUAAAUACUUUAUAAGCUAUAGGGCAUGGAUUUAAAUCCGAUUAUGUAUGAUUGUGCAUAGUUUGUUAGUUCAAACACUCAAUGAAACGUUUUUAUUUUGUAAAUUCGUUAUUACUCUAUAAACAUAUUAAUUAAUAGAUUAAAAUAUAUUAUUUAAUAAAUUAAAAAAUAACUACGUAAGAUUAUGUACGGAAUGUGUGACAUUAGAAUCUAAGAUUAAUUAAUGAAAAUAAAACAAGAUUUUGAAAGUUUACCAGUACAUAUAAAAUAUAAAUACAAAUAUUUUUAAUAAUUUAUCAAUAUAUAUUUUAAAAGUUUAUUAAUAUAAUUAACGUAGAAAUAUAUGUUCAAAUAAUUACAAAAUAUAGAAUUAAAUUAUUACAAUAAAUAUACAUACUAAAAACAAAAAACAAUCUAAAUUAUAAUCAACUAACUAAACUAAAACCCAUCAUCAGAAUAUUCCAACUCUGUUAAGCAUGGCAAUGAAAUAUUAAAAUAUUAUGGAUUUGGACCAUUUGGUAACGUUGAGAGUCGGCGGUUGUUUUAUUCUGGCAAUGGUGAUAGAGAAAAAGGAAGAGUAGUCGUCACCGUUAAUGGCGAAAGGCGUGGAGCAAGAACUUUUGAAUUUCAUUGCACAUUUAUUUGAGUUUUACUUUCUCCGGGUUUUUUUUAUUAAAAUAAAUUAAAAAAAAAAUUAUUUAUCAGUUGUCAGCCCGAUUAUAUACCAAAAUGAGGUAUUUUUUCAUUCGCGCCUAUCUGACAGGAGAGAAUGAUUAUUUUAUAUUAAUUUUUUUAAUAAAAUAUUAUUUUUUUAUUUUCGGAACAAUAAUUGCGCCUACUUGAGAGGCGUGACUAAUUGAGCCUUUCUCUGAAGCGCAAAUGGUGGGGCUCACAUUUUUCAUAUGUUAUUAAAAUGCAUACUUUACUUGGAUGAAGUAUGUAUUAGCAGAUUCACUAAUAUGAUUAUAUAUAUAUGUACACGCAUGUAUCACAUUACAAAAACAAAAAUUUAAAUACUUAUACCUAAUAAAACAUGUAUCCAUUACAAUAAUAGUUAUUUUCCAAAUAACAUAUUGUUUUAUAAUUUUACUUCUUAUUUAAUAUUUUAAUUUAAUUUUAAUAAUGCAUACUUUACCCGGAUGAAGUAUGUAUUAGCAGAUUCACUAAUAUGAUUAUAUAUAUUUACCUAUGUAUCACAUUACAAAAACAAAAUUUUAAAUACUUAUACCUAAUAAAAACGAGUAUUAAAAAUAACUUUAUAAUAUUACCAACUUUCAUUGACUAUAUAAUCCACAAGUUUGCCUUAAAUAUUACUAUCUGCUAAUACAUGUUUCAUCCGGAUAAAGUAUGCAUUUUAAUAACACAUGAAAGAUGUAGACAUUAAUAUUUAAGGCAAACUUGUGGAUUAUAUAGUCGAUGAAAGUUGGUAAUAUUAUAAAGUUAUUUUUAAUACUCGGUUUUAUUAGGUAUAAGUAUUUAAAAUUUUGUUUUUGUAAUGUGAUAUAUGCGUAAAUAUAUAUAUAAUCAUAUUAGUGAAUUUGCUAAUACAUACUUCAUCCAGGUAAAGUAUACAUUAUUAAAAUUAAAUUAAAAUAUUAAAUAAGAAAUAAAAUUAUAAAACAAUAUGUUAUUUGGAAAAUAACUAUUAUUGUAAUGAGAUACAUGUUUUAUUAGGUAUAAGUAAUUAAAUUUUUAUUUUUGUAAUGUGAUACAUGCGUGUAUAUAUAUAAUCAUAUUAGUGAAUCUGCUAAUACAUACUUCAUUCAGGUAAAGUAUGCAUUGUUAAAAUUAAAUUAAAAUAUUAAAUAAGAAAUAAAAUUAUAAAACAAUAUGUUAUUUGGAAAAUAACUAUUAUUGUAAUGAGAUACAUGUUUUAUUAGGUAUAAGUAAUUAAAAUUUUAUUUUUGUAAUGUGAUACAUGCGUGUAUAUAUAUAAUCAUAUUAGUGAAUCUGCUAAUACAUACUUCAUUCAGGUAAAGUAUGCAUUGUUAAAAUUAAAUUAAAAUAUUAAAUAAGAAAUAAAAUUAUAAAACAAUAUGUUAUUUGGAAAAUAACUAUUAUUGUAAUGAGAUACAUGUUUUAUUAGGUAUAAGUAUUUAAAUUUUUUUUUUGUAAUGUGAUACAUGCGUAAAUAUAUAUAUAAUCAUAUUAGUAAAUCUGCUAAUGCAUACUUCAUCCAGAUAAAGUAUGCAUUUUAAUAACACAUGAAAAAUAUAGGCCCCACCAUUUGCGCCUCAGAGAAAGGCUUGAUUACUGUUCCGAAAAUAAAAAAAUAUUUUAUUUAAAAAAAACAAAAAAAAUUAAUAUAAAAUAAUCAUUCACGCCUGUCAGAUAGGCGCGAAUGAAAAAAACACCUAAUUUUCGUAUAUAUUCAGACUGACAACCUAUUUUGAUAAAUAAAUUUUUUUAAAAUUUAUUUUAGUAAAAAAGCGACUUUCUCCGUCAUUUAUUUACAGUUAUUAUAUUGCACUUUUUCCAAUAUCAUGUAUUACGUCAUUUAUUUACAUUUAUUAUAUUGCAGCAUUUAAUAUUUUUAUUUUUUUAGUAAUAAAGGACAACACUUUUAUUUUUGUUCAUUAAAGGGAACACAUAUUCGUGUUCUUAAUUUUGAUUGUGUACGGAUAAUAAUAUAUAUAUAUAUUUGAUGAUAAACAAAGGUUAUGAAGAUAUUAGCUUUUAUCACUAUUAAAGGACGUCUAUUAAUAUAUGUACCUUCUUCAUAUCUGCAAAAGAUAUAUUGACAAUUUGGUCAAUAGUAUAAUUAAUCUCCUUAAAAAUAUGUCUUAUCAUUCAAUAUCUUUUAUUCCGUAACAUUUGUUGAAUUUAUUUUAUCAAAACUAAGUUCGGAUUUGUUGAAAUAUUCCCUUAAAUUGUUUGGACUACCUCCAAACUAUUUCUUUUUAAGUUUUAUGAUAAAUUAAGGUAAAUGGAUGAUACAUUUUGUUUAAAACAAAUUUUUUAGUGGGAAAAGGAAUUGAUAUGGGUGAGUAAUAUAAUGAUGAUUAGUUAACCAUAUUAUGAAAAUGGUUAAAUGAGUUGUUGAGUGUAAAAGCAGAAAGAGAUAUAUCAACAUUUAAAAGGUUUAAUGAUUUGUUCAUUGAAGGCUCUAUAUUUCACGAGUGGAGAAUUUAGAGUUAAAAGAAAGUGUGAUCCCAACAAUUGGAAAAUUUGUGUUUCUCAUUUUGAUUUUAUUUACAAAAUCCAUCAUGGCCUUUAGGUUGAAAUUUUAGUAAUUUUCAUACCAUCAUUUCAUUACCAAUAAAUAUAAAUCUUAAUUUUUUUUUUGUUUUAUUUUGACUGUGUUAGUCUCUAGACUGACACUUAUAAUUUUUUUUUCCCUCCUACCAAAUUUCUCUUUCUUUUUUUCUCCUCGUUCUCUCCAUGUGUUUUUUCUCUUUUUAACUUGCAGAUUUAUUUUGUGGAUAUCUUUAUUGUCUUCACAAGUUGUGAUAAACAGGUGACACUGCACAUCAUUGCUGAAACUCCACCGAUUACCAAUAGUUUCUCUUGAAAAGUUGGUGGCUCUUUGUCGAUUUCUUGAUUUGUUUCUCUUUUGAGAGUAUUCUAAAAUAAUAAAUGAUUUCACGAGUCGGUUAGGAUUCAUGUUUUAAAUUUUAUAUGUUUCUUUUUUAUUAUUUAAUAAGUCUUUACUUUUAGAAAUUUUUGUUCACUCUUGUAACAUGUUUUUUUGUCCUACUUUUGCAAAUGAUUUUAGGGAUUGUUUUGUCGUCGUCCUCUUCAUUUUGGUGGAUAUUUGAUGCUUUUGUUGAUUUUUGCCAGUCGUGUUGUACCAUUUAGGGCAAAUUUUCUUAUCGUAUCAAGUAUUUGUAAUCACUCCAAAUAUAUCAUGCUUGAGUUAUAAUAGAGCCAAUUAUCAACGUGUUAUGAUGCUAAGGUUGAAGCAUUUUUUGUGUUGAUGGAGCUUGCUCUUCACUGUUUACAAUUGGUGUUUGUUGGUCCCUUGAAUUCUAUGGUCUCUUUCAAAGAGUGAAUUAAUGAAUUUCUUUUUCAAAAACAAAAUUACAAAUAAAUAUUCAUGAGGUUAUUUACCAUAAUGUUCGGAUCAAUUUGAUUAUUUAUAAAAUAAACGAAGCAAUUUAAUUUUUGUACUACUGAAAGGUGAGAGAAAAACAAUUACUAGCAACAUGAAUUUUUUUUUUUGUUAAUAAGCCAUUAGGUGUAAUUAAGUGUGACUUAUUUAGCUUUUUAAUUUUAUAAAAAAAAUUAUUUUAGUUCUCCAUUUAAAUUUUCACCUUUUUUUUUAGUUUUUAAACUUAUGUUUUCUGUCAAAUCACCCCUAAAUAGAUAGAAAAGUUAAUGCUUUUUAACUUUGCUGACAUGGUAUGCAUGUGGAUGACACAUCAACAUUUAAUUAUUUUUUAAAAAUUUAAAAAAUUCAAAAAAAUUAUAAAACUUUAAAAUCAUUGAAAUUAUAAAAAAAUAGUUUCUGAAUUUUAAAACUUUAAUUAAACGCUGACAUGUCAUUCACGUGUAUGUCUUAUUAGCAAAGUUAAAAAAUAUUAAUUUUUUCAUUCAUUUUGGAGUGAUUUGAUUAAAAACACAAAUUUAAGGCUAAAAGAGACGAAAAAUUAAAUAGAUAGUUAAAAUAAUUUUUUUAUAAAAUUGAACGGUCAAAAAGUAAUUAUACCUAAAAUUAAACAAGAAAAAUUAAUUCUUAUACUGUUGAAAAAUGAGUAAAUAAACACAAUUGAAAAUGACGUUAAUUAAUUAUGUUUGUAAAAGUUGGUAAAAAAAAAGAUAUCAUUGCGACCAACAUCUUACAUAUAUAUACCUAUAUUUGAUCGAUUGACCUUAAAAAACCCCAUUAUGUAUAUAAAAAUUAAUAAAUAUAUCCAAAGUUUUGAAAUAAAAACAAAAAAAAAAUUAAUAAAUUUUUGAAUUUUAGAAACAUUAUAAGUUAAAUUAUGUUUUAAAGAAAUUCUUAGUUUUUUCCCCAAAAUUUUAGAAUUUUUUUGAAGUUUUAAUUUUUUUAUAAUGUUUAUGAAUAUUAAAUAUAUAUUAUUUUUAAAAUUCAAUCAAUUAGAAUUUAUUUAUUUUGUCACGUUAUUUUUUUAAUGGAAAUAAUUGAUUCAGUUUUUUUUAUUUUUUUUAUUUCUUCUAUGUAGAAUAUUAUAGAGAUUAAAUUGUUUGGUAGAAGUAUUCAUGGGUCAGGUCGGGUCGGGCUCGUAUAAGGUAUUUAGAUUAAAAUUUCAAGUUUAGGCUUGAUGCGAUCUGAAAAAUAAGCUUACUUUUUUGUCUAAACCCGACUUGAUUUAAGAAAUUAAACUCAGGCCUGACCAACUCCCUGUAUUUGCUUUUUUUUAGAUUACUUUUUAUUAAGAUUUUUUUAAAAAUAUAAUACAUUAAAAAAACACUAAAAUAAAUUUUUUCUAACACAUGAGAAAUACAUUAAAAAAGUAUUUAUAUUAAGAAAUACAAAUAAAUACAAUAAAUAUGUUUAAAUAUAAUUUUUAAAAUUUUAUAUUUUGGGUUGAAUUAUUUAGUUGGGUAAUUUUGUUAGAUUUUGGACAAUGGGUUUAAUUGUUAUUGAGUUAGUGAUUUAAUAUAAAUAUAAAUAUAUAAUUAUGUAAAAUAAAAAAUUAAAAUACUAUUUUUAUAAUAUAAUAUAUUUAGACCGGAUCGAACUCAGGUAAAAAAAGCUUGUCUAAUGCCCAACUCAUAUAAAAAAUGAAACUUAAAUUUAUCGAAGCCCAUUUUUUAGACAUUAUAUUUAGUCUAAAUACUCUUAUUUUCCAAUUAGACAUUCGAGGCUGGCAGUUCUAUUCUCCAAUCCAAUUUUAUAAUAACUAAAUUACUCUUUUCUCUAAUAACUUAUUAACAGAAAUGAUUUAGAUGAUCAUCAAUUACUAUUCAUCGCUACCCUUUUAAUAUUAUAAAUCUAAAUUGCAGUAAUAGUAUAAAAUAUGUGUAUUUAUAUACAAACAGACACAUGAGAACUUCAAUCAACUAACUGCAACAAAAAAAAAAAAGAUUGUCUAUUUGAAUAUAAUAUUUCAUAGAUUAGGAGAGUGGUUGCUAAUUGUAUUGUUUAGAGAAAAGGGGUUUGUUUAAAGACAAGAAAUUUGGGGUCUUCUAAACGGAAGAAAUUGAGAAGUUGGGAUUUUUUGUUUUUUUUUUUUGGUUAUUGGAAUACAUAAAUUAUAAAUUAUUUUGAAAAUUAAAUUUUAAAGUUUAAAGUUGGUAACUUUAUGCAUGACAUUGAAAAAUAGAGACGAAAUACUUUAUUUUAUUUUAUUUUUGUGUCUGUUUAUAAUAAUAUGAACCAUCUAGAGAAAUUCCAGCCGACAAAUGCCAAAUUUUUUGUUAAGUAGAGAGAGAGGCAGGCCUAAAGUCAAUCAGCUUUCUAGCCAGAAAUAGACUUUUCAAUUCCAAAUUCAGUAUUUAAAUACACACCUUCACCACCCAUAUGAGAUUAUAAUAAAAAUAAUAAGAAUUGGUGAAUAAGAAAAAAGAGGUGAUUGGUUGAAGACUUUAGGUUCAUCUUUAGUCUUCUAAUCCAAUCACAUUUCAUUUCCUGUAUUGUCUUAUUUAAACCCACCUUAGAGCUUCACCUAUAACCCUUAACCACACAAUAAAAAUAUGGCUUCUCUCAAAAGGUAUUUGUCAUUGAAAAAUAUCCUCCCUAGUUGCAUUAAACCCAAGGAUUCAUCUUCCGGGCCUAAAAUUCAUGCUACCAGACAGAGUCCAAGCCAAAGGUUAUCACUUACUGAUGUUAGCCACUCUGGGUCACCACUCUCAUUGACUGAUCUCUCAACUUCUCUCAUUAGCCUUCAUAUCUUUACCCUCAAGGAACUAGGAGUGAUAACUCACAAUUUCUCCAAGUCUAAUUUUUUGGGUGAGGGUGGGUUUGGACCUGUUUACAAAGGGUUCAUUGAUGACAAGUUUAAGCCUGCUUUGAAGGCUCAAUCUGUUGCUGUUAAGGUACUUGACUUGGAUGGCACUCAAGGUCACAGGGAAUGGCUGGUAAGCAAAUUGAUAAUCUCAACAUUUUAACUCUGUUUGUUUCCUUAUUGACCCUUUUUCCUGAACAGGCUGAAGUUAUUUUCUUGGGGCAAUUGAAGCACCCUCACCUGGUGAACUUAAUUGGGUAUUGCUAUGAAGAGGAACAUAGGCUUCUGGUUUAUGAAUACAUGGAACGAGGCAACUUAGAAAACCAAUUGUUUAAAAGUUGGUUUUAACUCUUUUCCCUUUUAAAAUUUGUAAUCAGCUAUUAAACUUUGUUAAAUUAUUAAUCUUAGUGGUCAACGAGUGCAGGGUAUGGUCCACCAUUGCCUUGGCUAACAAGGUUGAAAAUUGCUCUUGGAACUGCAAAAGGACUAGCUUUCCUUCAUGAAGAAGAGAAGCCGGUCAUAUACAGGGAUUUCAAAACUUCAAAUAUCUUAUUAGACUUGGUAAAAACAUACCACCUUUUAGUUCAACUGGUUUUCAUGCAUCAGCAAAGACUGAACAGGUUUGUUUUAUUGGCAGGCUUACAAUGCAAAGGUCUCGGAUUUCGGAUUGGCAACCGACGGUCCAGAAGGUGAAAAAUCUCAUGUUACAACUGCUGUAAUGGGCACAGAAGGCUAUGCUGCUCCGGAAUACAUUACAACAGGUACUAAAAGUUCAGCACUUAUCUCGGUUUUCACUGAUGGAACAAAUUGAUGUGAUUCCAGAAUUUGUAUUUUUCAGGGCAUUUGACGACUAUGAGCGAUGUGUUCAGCUUCGGAGUGGUUCUGUUAGAACUGUUAACAGGCCGGCGAUCUGUAGACAAAUCGCGCCCUGCUCGAGAAAAGAACCUAGUGGAAUGGGCAAGGCCUAGUUUGAAGGACCCUUACAAACUUGAUGCAAUAAUGGAUCCAAGACUUGAAGGACAGUACUCAACUGAGGGGGUUAAAAAGGUUGCUGCAUUGGCUUCUCAAUGUCUAAGCAACCACCCCAAGUCUAGACCAACUAUGAGCAAUGUGGUCAAGGCCUUGGAGCCUCUGCUGGACUUAACCGACAUCCCAACUGGACCCUUUGUGUACAUUGUUCCGACCGAUGGCAAUAGCGAGCCUAUCAUUCAGAACAUCAUACAACGAGAGGAAAAGCAACACGACGAGUUAAGAAUAGAGAAAAACAUCGAUCGUAAGGAAGAAAAGAAAGAGAAAAACCGAUUGCCACACAGAAAAGCCCGAAAGCAUAGACCUCGGGUUAAGCCAUCGAGGUCUCGAGCUGUCUAUUCGGACACUGAUUUGUAUAAAGUUUUAGGGUCUAGUUUGUAUACUCCCAAGCACUAGAGACACUCCAAACAAAACAAGCAUACCUUGUACAUUUGAAGUUCGUUGUAUUUUUUUUUUAAAAAAAAAAAUAUAUAUAUCUUUUCCAUUCUUGUCAUUGUCUAUAUGUUUAGAAAGUCAUGGCAUAAUAGAAGUUUCCAUAGAAUAUACAAAGCCAACCGAAACUGGUGUUUGAGCCAAUUUUUCCAGAGUUUCCAUACCUUAAUAUUUUUUUUACAGCAAGGGAAAAACAUGUCCAUUUGUUUGUUUUCUAUAAACAAAGAUUCGCCUAAGUUGUGGGCCAAUAUGACAACAUACGACUUCUACACGUUAAACAAUAGCAAAUGAUGCUUUUUUUUUUUGGGUCUGUAAAUGAUGCUAAUUAAGUAAUUACAUAAUUCAACAUGAUAUGAAAUUUUUCUAAGUUUCCCCGAAAUUUCAUUAUGGAAGGAAAUGACUGAAAUUCAUUGGGUUUGGGACUUUGUAAAUUAGUGCAAAUUUUCCUGCUGAAUCUUCACUGGCGUGUGACAUCAAAGUUCAAAGUUCUGAUUAGAGCCAUUGACUCCUUCAAAAUGAAGCAAAAUUUUCCAAAAGCUGCUGGAUAUUCUUUCGUGCUAGACUACUACACCACACAAGACUUGGGGGCAAUUCCACCAACCCCCUUCCCAAAUCCUAUCCCUUGAAAUCCACAAAUAUCUGAUCCAAAAGUUUGGCAAUCAUAACAUUCUUUUAAAACUCUUUUCCAUUUGUUAAUAUUUCUUGGUAAACCUUGAAAUUAAUGCAAGUAUUUGCGGGGGAUGAAGAGGAAAAAUGGGGCAAGGAGCAAAGCCAUUAUUAGCGUGGAAUCAAUGUAAAAACUCCAAAUGUUUAAAACUAAGUAUAAUCAAAGCAUUAGACUUGAAAUGUAGGAACUUUGUAUGGGGAAAGGUAUGGAGCAUUGUUAAAAAAAAAAAAAGGCUCCUCAAGGAACAGUAAGCAUAUUAAAUUAAUGGGUUAAUGGUGUCGAAUUGGUAAAUAAAGCAUUACUGAAUUUUCAACUCACAAUCCAUCCCACUGACCAUUCAUGCUGCAUAGUUUAUAUGCUGGAGGCUUCAACGAUUGUAGUAAUAUGUAUGUGGAAAAAUUAUGUUUCACCACAGCACCUGUUAUUUGUGAAUUUCUACAAAGCUUAUGUAAUUCAAAUGUAUGGCUGACGUUCUCAUAAUCCUAUUUUUAGCAUGUAUUUUUUUUAUGAAAAGAUUUGACUUGAUCUUUAUAGAUUAAAACAAAUAAUAUUAACAGUUUUAGACUGAAGUUCAAUAGCAAAACCCUAUUAAACAAAAUAAAAACAGAAGCCUAUUAAAUAAAAUAAAGAAAACAGGCCUAGACCGCUUAGAAAUGACCCAUAACUUCAUACUUAACUAUAACAAAAAAGAGGAAACCUAAUCUUAUCCUAUACCAGUCAAAUCGACAGCUGGAUACCAUUAGUCAAUGUCCGUUUACAUCACCGACUCAACUUUAAUGAUAGCAGUUUUCAAAGUAUCUUUUAAUUUUUUGCUACCCAUUUCUAAAGGAGUUUCAUCUUCUCUUUUCUCUCAAUCUGGCUGCCUUGGCCGAAGUUUCUCCUGGCAAACGUAAUCUGGAACUCCUCCCAAUAGGUAAUGGCUUUCUCCCCUCUUCAGAGCCUCUUUCGCAAGAACAUGGGCAUAUGUAUUCUCUUUUUUAGGGAUAAACUGAAACCCUAUCUCUUGAAAUUUAACUUUUUUGUUUUGGAUAUCUCUGAUGAGUGCUCCAAUGGCUGAUUUGUCAAGAUCUGUACUUUGGCAUUUCUUUAUAAUCUCCCAUUAUUUCCAGUUUGUUUAAGCUCAUAUAAAUUCCUAAUCUCAUGGCUUGUAAUCCUGCAUGUGCUUCCGUAGCAAACGAAAUUGCUAUAUCGGAGUGAAUGACCGUCUUAGAUGCUAAGAUCUCGCCCCCCACAUCUCGUACAAUCAAACCCGAAGCAUAUUUGAAGGAUUGCUGGUCAAAGGCUGCAUCAAAAUAGAUUGUUACCCUUGUUCUUCGAUUAACAUGUUGAAGGCCUUUGCCAGCCUGAAAGGUGAGUUUCUUUUUUUUUAUUCCAUCCAACUCAGAGAUGUAACUGUAUAUUUGCUUCAAAAUGUAUCUUCCUGUCACAUUUUUUCUUUCAUACAGUAACCGAUUUCUAUUGGACCAGAUUAGCCAAAGCCCGCAACAGAAAAGUCAACAUUGUUCACUAAUCCCUCGACUAAAGACCUAGGUAAGCUAUUCCCACAUACUGUGAAUAUCGUUGUUAAGAACCUAGGAAAGAUAUAAGUAAAUCCAAACAUCCAUUAUAGGAUACUGUCGAAAAAUAUGGUUACUAUCUUCCUUAUAUUGACGACACCGAGGGCAUUGAGCAUCCAUCGCCACUUUCUUAUGCUUAAGGUUGACGAGUAGGAAUAAAAUUCCAGGAGAUUCUCCAUACUGGUAUUGUAACUUUUGAGGGGAUGUAUAAAUUCCAUAGUUUCCUGUAGAAAUUUUUUGUUUCGGCUUGUAUAAUAUAAUUACUAGGACCAAGUUAGUCUCCUGUAAUAGUUUAUAGGCACUUCUGAGAGUUCGCCUCUCCACACUUGAAAAUUGUCAUAUGUUAUCUCCGCCAGAGGAAUCUGCAUGAUUUUUUUUUGCAAUAUCUGUAUGAAAGGUAUUCAUAAUAACAUCUGUUUUCCAGGUCUUGUCAAUAGCCUCAUUUAAAUCCGAUACUAACUUGAUGUUUUCAUUGUUGUCUUGGUUCUGUAAUCUGUCUGCCUCUUCUUCCGAAAUUCAUAAAUCAUCCCAAACGAAAAUUUGAUCCCCCGUUCCAACCCUCCAGCAUAGACCUUUCUACAGAAGUCCUCUUGUUGCCCAUACAUUUUUCCAGGUAAGCGAAGGUAAAUUCCCUAACCUAGCAUUAUAGAAAUUCGAGUUAGGAUAAUAUUUUGCCUUCAAGACACGGGCUAAUAAAGAAUUUGGAAAAUUAAUAAGACGCCAACCCUGCUUUGCUAAUAACACUAUGUUAAAUUUUUCAAAAUUUCGAAAAUCAAGACCACCAUCUUAUUUUAACGAGCAUAGUUCCUGCCAAGCACACCAAUGGAUGCCUUUUUUAUCUCGACCUUUUUGCCACUAAAAUUUAGCUAUAGUACCUUCCAAAUCAGCACAUAAAGAUUUAGGGAGUAAAAAACAAGCCAUAGUAUAAAUUGGAAUGGAUUGUAGUAUAGCCUUUAUGAAAACCUUUUUUCCUCCUUAAGAGAGAUGCCUUAUACUCCAGUUAUCAAUUCGUUGUUCAAAUUUGUCCUUUCAAGACUUGAAAAAACGAUUUCUUGUUUCUUCCCACCAUAUUAGGGAGACCAAGGUACCGUUUUGAGUUAUUUGAUCUACGCACUCCAAGUACAUUAGAAACUAUUAUUUUUUCCCCAUCCUACAUAUUAGUACCGAAAAAUACUGUUCCCUUAUCAAAGUUAACACAAUAAUCUGAACAAAUCUCAUAUUCUUUCAAAAUCUGCUUUAGAGAAUGUGUUCCUCUUUCAGUAUCAUCUGUUUGCUUGUACUCUUCUUAGUAUAUUUUCUUUUAUUGCAAGCCUCAUAAGACUAGAGAGGCCUUCCCCACAAAAUAAAAAUAGAAACGGACUCAAGGGAUCUCCCUGUCUUAAUCCUCUAGUCGGAUGAAAAAUUUCCCCAAUGUGUCCAUUGAAAACCACCGAGUACGAUAUUGUAGAUGCACAUUUCAUUAAAGAAUCAACCCAUCUAGAAUCAAAACCCAUUCUCUUCAUUAUUUCUUCCACAAAAUUUCAUUCAACCCUGUUGUAUGCUUUGUUCAUAUCUAAUUUUACCACCAUAAACCCUUUUUUCCCCACCUUCUUGUGCUUUAAUGUGUGUAAAAUUUCAUAAGCCAGUAACACAUUAUAAAAAAUCAAUCUCCCAGGUACAAAAGCACUUUGUGCUAAAUCAAUACAUUUAUCAACCACUACCCGAAGACGAUUAGCAAUGACUUUAGCUAUCAAUUUAUAAAGCACAUUACAUAAGCUAAUUGGUCUAAAUUGAGUAAUACUAGAAGGGUUUGAAUUUUUCAGUAUUAGCAUAAUAUUUGUUUUAUUGAUCGAAUUUAUAUCCAUAUCUUCAUUCAGUCAUUGAAGACAAAAGGCUGAAAUAUCUUCUCCGAUGAUCGGCCAACACUUUGAUAAAAUAAGGCCGGAAAAUCGUUCUCUCCUGGUGUUUUUGUGGGACCUAAUUCUGAUAAUGCUUCUUGUAUCUCCUCCUUAGUGUAACUCACUUUUAGCCUAAAAUUGUCUUCAUCAGAAAUACAACAAUCGAUCCCUGACAAAAUAUGUACAUAAUUUCCUUACCUCCCAGCUGAAAAUAAUCUCUGAAAAUACGAUCUAGCAAUUUCUUCCAUUUCCCUAACCUUUUCCUUCUCCCUACCAUUAUCAAACUGCAUUUUGCGAAUAAAAUUUCUUCUUCUCCUCUGUGUCGCUUGCUUAUGAAAAAACGUGGUAUUUCUAUCUCCAAAUUUCAGCUAGUUUACUCGAGCUCUCUAUUCCCAGUAGCACUCAUCAUUCUUAAUCUCAAAAUUUAGUUGUAUCUUUGUGUCAGUGAGUUCUGGCAAGUUUUCAUCAUUUCUAUCGGAUUCCAACAAUUUUGUCAAUUUAGAAGUUAAUGCCUCCUUUUUUAUUUUCAUGCUGCACCGAAUUUGAUUAGCCCACCUCUCUAAGCCUUUCUUCAUACUUUCUAACUUGCUCAGUAGAUCUCCUGUGGAAUUCUCCCAAAUGUACCUAACCUCCUCAACAAAUGUUCCCUCCAAAACCCCCAAUCUUCAAACUUAAAACUUUUAUUAAAUUGCCCUUUAACUUCACGUUCUGUAGUAAUGAAUACAGGACAAUGGUUUGAAAAAGAAUGAAGAAGGUGUUGAAUUAAGGAAUCUGAAAAUAAAGAUAUCCAUUCUUCAGUGGCCACUCCUCUAUCUAAUCUUUCUUGAAUGUUCGUUUUCGACAAAUUUCCUCUCCCUAAGUGAGCCAGUUUCCUGAAUAACCCAUAUAAACUAGAUUACAAUCUUCCAAUGCCUUUUGAAAAGCUUUUAUUUGUCUCUCCUCUCGAGGUAAGCCUCCAUUCUUUUCAAAACCAUACAUAAUUUCAUUAAAGUCCCUACAAACUAGCCAUGGAGACUCUCCAUCAUUAUGUAAGUGUCCUAAAAGAUGCUAUGAUUCAUUCUUGUCCUGUGUGUAGGGAGAACCACAAAAACCAGUAAAUCUCCACUUGUUUCUAUCAUCUGUAUCUUCGAUUAUCACAUCAAUAUGUCAGUUUGAAAAACUCUGGAGCGUAAUAUUAACAUCCCCACGCCAUGCUAAACAUAAUCCUCAUCUAAAACCAAUCGAUUCAACAUUGAUACCAUUAUGAAAACCACAACUCCUUUGAACUCUUUCCAUCUGACUUCUGUUAAUUUUUGUCUCCAUGAAGAAGACCAUAUGAGGAUUGUAUAACUUCAGCAAAUGCCGAAGUCUUCGAAAUGCCUGUGUAUUCUCCAAUCCAUGGGCAUUCGAACUUAAGAUUUUUAUUGCGCCCAGUCGGCUUGCCUCUUGGCAGUCGCCGAUGAUAAAUGAUUAAUUUCCAACAACCUUCUAUUUUUAACCACCAUAAUGUUGUUUUCUUCAAUCUCCCCCCAGCUCUCUUUUCCCUCUCCUCUACUAUUAACACAUCAUCUUCUAGAUCAUGAUCCAUUGCAGUUUGAGCUUGACCUGUCAAUAAAUUUUCCUUCAUUGGCGUGAAGAGAACGUUCUUCCUUCCAAAUUAAAACCUAAAAUAGGGUCAAUAACCUUGUAAUACCCUUGUUUUUUGCCUACUCCCCACCCACUGUUGCCUUGUGUUCGUUCGUCUGUGCUGUUUCCACCUAGUACUCCUUCUCCUUCCUCACGUAGCCAAACUCUAUUCAUUGCUUAGGCUCUUCGAGAUUGUGCUCGCAAUGAUUAGUCCCAACCCAUCUAAGUGAUUUCUACCCCUAAUGCCACAUUUGUUUCACAAAAAGAGUCACUAUGACCUAAACGACCACAAUAGAAACAAAAAAGGGAAAUCUUUCAUACUUAAAUCUGACAUAUGAGUAUUUCCCACAAAACAUAACUUGUUUCUUCCUUUUAAGAGGACGCCGAAUAUCUAUUUGGACUUGUAUUCUCAUAAAUUUUGAUUUUCUUUCCCCAGAUUCGAACCAUCAUACUCCAUAAAAUUUCCUAUGAAAUUACCCAAUUGUAUAGCCAGAUUAUCAAAGAAAAAAACCUAUGAGAAUAGCAUGAAUUUGUACCCAGAAAGGUGUUAAAAUUAAAGGGACUUUUAAUGGGUUAUCCCCCACUUGCAGCUUGUAUAACACCAAUAAAUGAUUAUUAAAAGUCCAUGGUGAUCCCUUCAAAACCCUUUCUAUAUUUAUAACAUGAAAAAAUUGAAAUAAAUACCUUUUCUCCCCCAGAUCUCGAAUUUGAACAUCCCGAACAAGGUGCCAUAAGUUAGCCAUAGUGUUUUUCAUUGCUAGGAAGUGAAUAAUACUGGUCGUUAAAAAACACUCCACCAAUCUAAAGGCCCCUUUUUCUCUUUUCGUAUUCGGAUAUACUUGUAUUUGUAAAAUUGCUUCUUCUUCUUCAUUAAGCGUUAAUCUAGCAAAGUCAGUUUCCAUGGAUGCAGAUAAAUUUCAAGAAGCGUGAAAAUCCUUUUCUAAAGACUUAAAUAGGACUUUAAAUAUGGCUGCAGCUGACAAAAAACAGAAAACUCAAUAAAAACCUAAAAACUUGCCAGAGAGAGCAGACAGUUGCAUACUAAGGUAGCAGACUCUUUAGCAUGUAUUUUUUAGACAAGUACAAUACAAUCAAAAUACGUUAUAAAUAAAUAUCCAAGCAACCAUAAAAUAAAAUCAAAGUAAUACAGUACAAAUAGACUAAAACCAAAACAAUCUGGACUAAAACUCAUACAGAGCAAUUACAUAUAGUGGAUUUCAAACUUAAAAACUUUAAGUAUUCAAGAACCCGAGUCCAUUUUUAUUAACUGUGCUAAGGCUUUAUUGGCUCAUAACAAAUUUUUUUGUUUGUUUUUGUUUAUCAAAAAAUUAUUUGCUCAACAUAGCUUAAAUUAAUUUAUUUAUUGAAUUUUCUAAUUAGAUACCUCUAACAAGUGAGUCUUGCCUCAUAAAAAUAGAAUAAAAGUUUAAAUUGUGAAAAAUGCAAUUUUUAAAGACGCUCCUAAGUCCUGAGUCGAAAAGAAUUAGUUUAAAAUGGCUCGAGAUACCUUGGGUCUUCACAAAAACUAGCAAGGUAAAGGGCAUUGAAGCAGUCAAUGUAUGGGCAGAUUUACCAAGUAAUUUCCAUCAUUGCCUAUUUUGCUAUAUCCAAAGCAUACGAUGAAUCUGUACGUUAGAACAGGCUGGCCAGCCAGAAUGCUAGUUGCUUGUGGCUUUGCAUAACCAAAACUUCAGGAAACUAGUUUAGCAUUGUUGAUACGACAAAUCAACAAAGAGAAAAAGGUUGGAAGAGGUGAUCGACGGUUCACCCUUGAAAGGUAGAAAGCCGUCGUAAUGUAAUGAAGUGGUGGAAGAAGGUUGAAAGGAGGAGAGAAUCAAAACUUAGGUGAGAGUUCAUAUAGAGGUGCCACAUGUAAGGAUCAUGUUGGCUGUAAUGCCAGAUCUUGUUUCCAAAUAAAAGUAACAAUAUAACCCUAUAUAUUAGUGAUGUGACAUAAUAAGAUGGCUUAACAAACAAUGAUUGUCCCAUCACAAUUGGCAGAGGUAGUCUAUGACGAAGGUGCGCUCAAUGAUAUGACACGUGGAGGUGUUGCAGAAGUAGGUGUAACAAGCCGCAGAGGGACCAUGAACCGCUUAAAUUGUCUAGUGAAAUUCUAUCUGACGCCUGCAGAUUUGUUGCAAGGCUUAUUUCCUUUUAUUCAAUAUUUGUAAGACAAUUCUGCUAUCAUAUCAUCAGAUACAGUGAGCAAGUAUUGAGAAUGAAUGCAUUAGAAAAAGAAGAAACCAACAAAGGAUCUUAAUAACAAAUUUUUUUUCGAUCAUCUAUCAAAUAAUUCAUAGUAGCCAGAAAAGUUUGAGUUCUCUCUGCUUACAAUCGUACAAAGAAAACACAGAGCACCCUUACCUUAAGGGUUUCUCUUUAGAUCAAAAGCAACUGAACACCUUUCCGAUUUUGAAAUAUAUAAAUACACCAAGCAACCUUACCGGAUUCUUGAAUAUUUGUAGCAUAAACCAAUGCCGGCCUAGUCAUCUCUUCUCUUACUCUCAGCACACACCAGUAUUAGGCCAAUGGCUGGUUAUUGAACCAUGUGGUCCUUUUGGUUGUAGUUUAUCAAACUCGCAUUAUGAGCCAAUGUUACCAAGCUUUGAACAGCAGUGUAAAGAUUCAUUUCGACCAUGAAUUCCACCCCAAAGCACUAAACCAUACAGCGGAAGAGUAAAACAAAUAUCUGAGGCUCGAUUGACAGGAUAGUCCAAACCAACAUCUGAUUUUAGUGCAUUUGCUUCGUUUCUUUCAUUCCUCCUAAAACAUGGGAAGUAUUGGGCAAAUUUGGAAAAUUCAUACAAGACAAAGCUGAAGAUCAAUAGCAUGCUCGCAAUAAUACUACUGUUUCUUUUGUUUUCGAUAGCAUGCUCGCAAUAAUACUACUGUUUCUUUUGUUUUCGACUUGCUUUUUUUGGAUGAGUUGUUCCUUUACUUCUAUAAUCAUUUUGAGCCUGGAUCCAGUCAGAGUGAUACUUGUCAUCAUACGGAACAACCUUCCCAUCAAUGAACGGUUCUCCUGUAAAAUAACCACAAUGCACGUUAACACUCAACUGUUGUCAUAAAGGCAGGAGGAAUUGCAUGCGUGUGACCUUAAUAGAAAAUGGAGGAAGAAAUGCAUGCAUAUUAGAAUAGCAGAACAAAUGGAAACUCAUACUAAUCUGUCAAGAAAACCAUCCAACACAAAGUGUAUGCCAUUCAGCUCUAUCAACUGCUGCGCGUAAAAAAUUCUUCUACUGCCACCAUUUAUGUUAACUGAUAAUGAUUGCUAAGAAAAUAGAACUUAACACCUAAGAAGAAUGAGGAAAACAACAGUAAGCAUCAACAGUUUACUUCCGUAAUGUGAAAUGGAACACUUUGGGGCACAUGAACCACCACACUUCGAUGUCUCAAGGAUUCCCAUCUUCUUCUUUAAUAGCAACAGCAAUACCAACAAGUCCUAAUAGCUGUUAAGUAAUCAACUAGAGAAGCAUCAUCAUCAAUGCUUAAUGACAUUCACUCUACUGCCUUCCCAUUUGUCUUCCAAAAGUACUUUUUAUCAUCCUCAAAAGAAACGAAGUGAAAUUAUUAGUCAUUUUUUUCCCAGCAAUCAAGCAUAAGCAGGACCGGAGUAAUACAAUAGCUUAAUAACAGAGUAAUAAAGCAAAUGAGAAGCAAAGACACUGGAAAGCUAAAACUAACCUCCAUAGCUAUUAUCACCAGGGUCCCCCGAAUAAGAAUCUGGUAAAACCCAUUUCACAUUAGGCAGAGCUGCAACCAACCAACACAAUUCUGUAUUUACUUUACAAACUUGAAAAAGAACGAAUUUGCAAAGGAAAGAAAGACUCACUUUUAAUCUUAAAAACCAAAUCUUCUGGUACUUUGCAACCAAAUGCAUAAUAAUACUUGGUGGAAACAGAGUAUAUAGACUUCUUGGCAUCCUCUUCACUGCGUAUUAAUAGCAAAAAUAUAAAACAAAAAUGAAAAAAUACCCAUUUUAGGACUGCAAAAAGGGGAAAAAGGAGUACGGAUUUUGACCUUCCCAAAGCCAUUGCUAGGGUUUUAAUGUAGGUGUUAACGAUCUCAUCUCGAAGUGGGU
rnacentral:lncRNA from 1 species